UGAGGAAUAUUGGUCAAUGGGCGCGAGCCUGAACCAGCCAAGUAGCGUGAAGGAUGAAGGUCCUACGGAUUGUAAACUUCUUUUAUAAGGGAAUAAAGUCAUCUACGUGUAGGUGUUUGUAUGUACCUUAUGAAUAAGCAUCGGCUAACUCCGUGCCAACAGCCGCGGUAAUACGGAGGAUGCGAGCGUUAUCCGGAUUUAUUGGGUUUAAAGGGAGCGUAGACGGGUCGUUAAGUCAGCUGUGAAAGUUUGGGGCUCAACCUUAAAAUUGCAGUUGAUACUGGCGUCCUUGAGUACGGUUGAGGCAGGCGGAAUUCGUGGUGUAGCGGUGAAAUGCUUAGAUAUCACGAAGAACCCCGAUUGCGAAGGCAGCCUGCUAAACCGCCACUGACGUUGAGGCUCGAAAGUGUGGGUAUCAAACAGGAUUAGAUACCCUGGUAGUCCACACGGUAAACGAUGGAUACUCGCUGUUGGCGAUAGACUGUCAGCGGCUUAGCGAAAGCGUUAAGUAUCCCACCUGGGGAGUACGCCGGCAACGGUGAAACUCAAAGGAAUUGACGGGGGCCCGCACAAGCGGAGGAACAUGUGGUUUAAUUCGAUGAUACGCGAGGAACCUUACCCGGGCUUGAAUUGCAGACGAAUUGCUUGGAAACAGGCAAGCCGCAAGGCGUCUGUGAAGGUGCUGCAUGGUUGUCGUCAGCUCGUGCCGUGAGGUGUCGGCUUAAGUGCCAUAACGAGCGCAACCCUCGUGUCCAGUUACUAGCAGGUUAUGCUGAGGACUCUGGACAGACUGCCAUCGUAAGAUGUGAGGAAGGUGGGGAUGACGUCAAAUCAGCACGGCCCUUACGUCCGGGGCUACACACGUGUUACAAUGGGGGGUACAGCAGGCAGCUACCGGGCGACCGGAUGCCAAUCCCGAAAGCCUCUCUCAGUUCGGACUGGAGUCUGCAACCCGACUCCACGAAGCUGGAUUCGCUAGUAAUCGCGCAUCAGCCACGGCGCGGUGAAUACGUUCCC
rnacentral:rRNA from 1 species